rnacentral:rRNA from 1 species
GCAUGUUCACAUGAUUAAAGGUAUUCCGGUAGACGAUGGGGAUGCGUUCCAUUAGAUAGUAGGCGGGGUAACGGCCCACCUAGUCUUCGAUGGAUAGGGGUUCUGAGAGGAAGGUCCCCCACAUUGGAACUGAGACACGGUCCAAACUCCUACGGGAGGCAGCAGUGAGGAAUAUUGGUCAAUGGGCGAGAGCCUGAACCAGCCAAGUAGCGUGAAGGAUGACUGCCCUAUGGGUUGUAAACUUCUUUUAUAAAGGAAUAAAGUCGGGUAUGCAUACCUGUUUGCAUGUACUUUAUGAAUAAGGAUCGGCUAACUCCGUGCCAGCAGCCGCGGUAAUACGGAGGAUCCGAGCGUUAUCCGGAUUUAUUGGGUUUAGAGGGAGCGUAGAUGGAUGUUUAAGUCAGUUGUGAAGGUUUGCGGCUCAACCGUAAAAUUGCAGUUGAUACUGGAUAUCUUGAGUGCAGUUGAGGCAGGCGGAAUUCGUGGUGUAGCGGUGAAAUGCUUAGAUAUCACGAAGAACUCCGAUUGCGAAGGCAGCCUGCUAAGCUGCAACUGACAUUGAGGCUCGAAAGUGUGGGUAUCAAACAGGAUUAGAUACCCUGGUAGUCCACACGGUAAACGAUGAAUACUCGCUGUUUGCGAUAUACAGCAAGCGGCC